rnacentral:rRNA from 1 species
UCCAGACUCCUACGGGAGGCAGCAGUGGGGAAUUUUGGACAAUGGGCGCAAGCCUGAUCCAGCAAUGCCGCGUGAGUGAAGAAGGCCUUCGGGUUGUAAAGCUCUUUUGUCAGGGAAGAAACGGUGAGGGCUAAUAUCCUUUGCUAAUGACGGUACCUGAAGAAUAAGCACCGGCUAACUACGUGCCAGCAGCCGCGGUAAUACGUAGGGUGCAAGCGUUAAUCGGAAUUACUGGGCGUAAAGCGUGCGCAGGCG